AAGUCGUAACAAGGUUUCCGUAGGUGAACCUGCGGAAGGAUCAUUAACACGUAUCCAAACGUUAAACAACCCCGUGAACAUACAACCUGCUCUGGUCGCCCGCUCGCAUGGACAAGCCCAGUAAAUCAAGCCCCGGAAAGUUUUUGAUUUGGGACCUCUGUGCGCGUGAGAAAAACUGACAGCGAUUCAUAGAAGCGGUAGGUCAAGUGACACGGCGUCCCCAAGUGACCAGUGAAUGAAAGUGUCGCUGGAGCGUCAAGGACGACUCUUAUACUGAGCUAACACCGCUCCCUUCCGAACCCCACUUUAUUGCCUUGCCUGUAAGCAUCCAUACGGAUGGGCAGGCCCCCCGAACAACUGUUAACAAUGGAUAUCUUGGUUCUC
rnacentral:misc_RNA from 1 species